UACGGAGGAUGCGAGCGUUAUCCGGAUUUAUUGGGUUUAAAGGGUGCGUAGGCGGAUCGUCAAGUCAGCGGUAAAAUUGAGAGGCUCAACCUCUUCCCGCCGUUGAAACUGGUGGUCUUGAGUGGAUGAGAAGUACGCGGAAUGCGUGGUGUAGCGGUGAAAUGCAUAGAUAUCACGCAGAACUCCGAUUGCGAAGGCAGCGUACCGGCAUCCAACUGACGCUGAGGCACGAAAGCGUGGGGAUCAAACAGG
rnacentral:rRNA from 1 species